CGGCGCACGGGUGCGUAACGCGUAUAGAACCUACCUUUUACAGAGGGAUAGCCUUUAGAAAUGAAGAUUAAUACCUCAUAGUAUUAAGGAUUCGCAUGAAUCCUUAAUUAAAGAUUUAUCGGUAAAAGAUGGCUAUGCGUCCUAUUAGCUAGAUGGUAAGGUAACGGCUUACCAUGGCAACGAUAGGUAGGGGUCCUGAGAGGGAGAUCCCCCACACUGGUACUGAGACACGGACCAGACUCCUACGGGAGGCAGCAGUGAGGAAUAUUGGGCAAUGGAGGCAACUCUGACCCAGCCAUGCCGCGUGCAGGAAGACGGCCCUAUGGGUUGUAAACUGCUUUUAUACAGGAAGAAACACUCGUACGUGUACGAGCUUGACGGUACUGUAAGAAUAAGGACCGGCUAACUCCGUGCCAGCAGCCGCGGUAAUACGGAGGGUCCGAGCGUUAUCCGGAAUCAUUGGGUUUAAAGGGUCCGCAGGCGGUCAAUUAAGUCAGAGGUGAAAUCCCAUAGCUCAACUAUGGAACUGCCUUUGAUACUGGUUGACUUGAGUCAUAUGGAAGUAGAUAGAAUGUGUAGUGUAGCGGUGAAAUGCAUAGAUAUUACACAGAAUACCGAUUGCGAAGGCAGUCUACUACGUAUGUACUGACGCUGAGGGACGAAAGCGUGGGGAGCGAACAGGAUUAGAUACCCUGGUAGUCCACGCCGUAAACGAUGGAUACUAGUUGUUGGGCAUUAGCUCAGUGACUAAGCGAAAGUGAUAAGUAUCCCACCUGGGGAGUACGGUCGCAAGACUGAAACUCAAAGGAAUUGACGGGGGCCCGCACAAGCGGUGGAGCAUGUGGUU
rnacentral:rRNA from 1 species